GCAGCUUGCUGCUUCGCUGACGAGUGGCGGACGGGUGAGUAAUGUCUGGGAAGCUGCCUGAUGGAGGGGGAUAACUACUGGAAACGGUAGCUAAUACCGCAUAAUGUCGCAAGACCAAAGAGGGGGACCUUCGGGCCUCUUGCCAUCGGAUGUGCCCAGAUGGGAUUAGCUUGUUGGUGGGGUAACGGCUCACCAAGGCGACGAUCCCUAGCUGGUCUGAGAGGAUGACCAGCCACACUGGAACUGAGACACGGUCCAGACUCCUACGGGAGGCAGCAGUGGGGAAUAUUGCACAAUGGGCGCAAGCCUGAUGCAGCCAUGCCGCGUGUAUGAAGAAGGCCUUCGGGUUGUAAAGUACUUUCAGCGGGGAGGAAGGGAGUAAAGUUAAUACCUUUGCUCAUUGACGUUACCCGCAGAAGAAGCACCGGCUAACUCCGUGCCAGCAGCCGCGGUAAUACGGAGGGUGCAAGCGUUAAUCGGAAUUACUGGGCGUAAAGCGCACGCAGGCGGUUUGUUAAGUCAGAUGUGAAAUCCCCGGGCUCAACCUGGGAACUGCAUCUGAUACUGGCAAGCUUGAGUCUCGUAGAGGGGGGUAGAAUUCCAGGUGUAGCGGUGAAAUGCGUAGAGAUCUGGAGGAAUACCGGUGGCGAAGGCGGCCCCCUGGACGAAGACUGACGCUCAGGUGCGAAAGCGUGGGGAGCAAACAGGAUUAGAUACCCUGGUAGUCCACGCCGUAAACGAUGUCGACUUGGAGGUUGUGCCCUUGAGGCGUGGCUUCCGGAGCUAACGCGUUAAGUCGACCGCCUGGGGAGUACGGCCGCAAGGUUAAAACUCAAAUGAAUUGACGGGGGCCCGCACAAGCGGUGGAGCAUGUGGUUUAAUUCGAUGCAACGCGAAGAACCUUACCUGGUCUUGACAUCCACGGAAGUUUUCAGAGAUGAGAAUGUGCCUUCGGGAACCGUGAGACAGGUGCUGCAUGGCUGUCGUCAGCUCGUGUUGUGAAAUGUUGGGUUAAGUCCCGCAACGAGCGCAACCCUUAUCCUUUGUUGCCAGCGGUCCGGCCGGGAACUCAAAGGAGACUGCCAGUGAUAAACUGGAGGAAGGUGGGGAUGACGUCAAGUCAUCAUGGCCCUUACGACCAGGGCUACACACGUGCUACAAUGGCGCAUACAAAGAGAAGCGACCUCGCGAGAGCAAGCGGACCUCAUAAAGUGCGUCGUAGUCCGGAUUGGAGUCUGCAACUCGACUCCAUGAAGUCGGAAUCGCUAGUAAUCGUGGAUCAGAAUGCCACGGUGAAUACGUUCCCGGGCCUUGUACACACCGCCCGUCACACCAUGGGAGUGGGUUGCAAAAGAAGUAGGUAGCUUAACCUUCGGGAGGGCGCUUACCACUUUGUGAUUCAUGACUGGGGUGAAGUCGAAACAAGGUA
rnacentral:rRNA from 1 species